CUGGGAUUAGAUACCCCACUAUGCUUAGCCCUAAACUUAAAUAAUUCCAUAACAAAAUUACUCGCCAGAGAACUACAAGCCAGAGCUUAAAACUCAAAGGACUUGGCGGUGCUUUAUACCCGCCUAGAGGAGCCUGUUCUAUAAUCGAUAAACCCCGAUAAACCUUACCACUCUUUGCCAAUUCAGCCUAUAUACCGCCAUCUUCAGCGAACCCUAAAAAGGAACAAAAGUAAGCUCAAUUAUCCCCAUAAAAACGUUAGGUCAAGGUGUAGCCUAUAGAGUGGAAAGUAAUGGGCUACAUUUUCUACUUCAGAACAUACGAAAGCCCUUAUGAAACCCUAAGAGCCAAAGGAGGAUUU
rnacentral:rRNA from 1 species